UCAAACUAAAAAUGAAAAUACCGGAAAAUAUAUUAGGAAUAUUUGAUUAACAAUUUUUACACCAUAUGUCCAUGAUUUUUAAUUGAUUGAAUUUAACCGUUCUUUGUCGGCUGAAUCACAAUGCUUAUAUUUUUUUUCGAGUGCUGGAAAAAGGACUUGUAUCCUACAGUCGACCAUUUUACUAUAUAAAUACAAAACAGUAUACACAUACUUAUCCUGCUUCUAUUUUAAGCGAACGGAUACAUUCUAAUCAUUGUUUAUGUGGCAGUUUACUUUGUGAUCCCUGUUAAAAUGCCGUCGAUUUUAAUGAAAAGUAACGUCGGUAAAAUAGAGAUACACGUUUUCAUGCGUUAACUAUAAAUUGUCUACUUAAACAUAAGUUCGUAUUGUAUAUUGUAGGAAAAUAAGGAAAAGGAGAAAGCUCGGCGAACAUUGCAUUUCUCUCGCAUUUAGAUUUAAGCUUAUGAAAAUAAAUGUUGCAUAUUCCGACAAUGAACGAAUAAGGGAUUUUUAAUUUUUAAUGACAAAUGUAAGGGAGGUUGUAACAUUACUGUAAACAUCAAUCUACACCAAUUAUCCAAAUAUUCAAUACGCU
rnacentral:lncRNA from 1 species